GCCGCGCCGCCAUGGCCCUGGCGCUGCCGCUGCCCGAGCCGCCCUGGCCGCCGAGCCUGGCCCCGCUGAAGGACGUGGAUAACUUGCUGCGCUGUGGGAUUUGCUUCGACUACUUCAGCAUCGCCGUGGUCAUCCCGCAGUGCUCCCACAACUAUUGUUCCCUUUGUAUCCGCAAGUUUUUGUCCUACAAAACUCAGUGUCCAACAUGCUGUGUGGUAA